GACGAACGCUGGCGGCGUGCUUAACACAUGCAAGUCGAACGAUGAAGCCUAGCUUGCUAGGUGGAUUAGUGGCGAACGGGUGAGUAAUACGUGAGUAACCCACCUUUAACUCUGGGAUAAGCCUGGGAAACUGGGUCUAAUACCGGAUACGACCAAUCUCCGCAUGGGGUGUUGGUGGAAAGCGUUAUGUAGUGGUUAUAGAUGGGCUCACGGCCUAUCAGCUUGUUGGUGAGGUAACGGCUCACCAAGGCGACGACGGGUAGCCGGCCUGAGAGGGUGACCGGCCACACUGGGACUGAGACACGGCCCAGACUCCUACGGGAGGCAGCAGUGGGGAAUAUUGCACAAUGGGCGCAAGCCUGAUGCAGCGACGCCGCGUGAGGGACGACGGCCUUCGGGUUGUAAACCUCUGUUAGCAGGGAAGAAGAGAGAUUGACGGUACCUGCAGAGAAAGCGCCGGCUAACUACGUGCCAGCAGCCGCGGUAAUACGUAGGGCGCGAGCGUUGUCCGGAAUUAUUGGGCGUAAAGAGCUUGUAGGCGGUUUGUCGCGUCUGCUGUGAAGGCCGGGGCUUAACUCCGUGUAUUGCAGUGGGUACGGGCAGACUAGAGUGCAGUAGGGGAGACUGGAAUUCCUGGUGUAGCGGUGGAAUGCGCAGAUAUCAGGAGGAACACCGAUGGCGAAGGCAGGUCUCUGGGCUGUAACUGACGCUGAGAAGCGAAAGCAUGGGGAGCGAACAGGAUUAGAUACCCUGGUAGUCCAUGCCGUAAACGUUGGGCACUAGGUGUGGGGAACAUUCCACGUUUUCCGCGCCGUAGCUAACGCAUUAAGUGCCCCGCCUGGGGAGUACGGCCGCAAGGCUAAAACUCAAAGAAAUUGACGGGGGCCCGCACAAGCGGCGGAGCAUGUGGAUUAAUUCGAUGCAACGCGAAGAACCUUACCAAGGCUUGACAUAUACUGGACCGCAUCAGAGAUGGUGUUUCCCUUCGGGGCUGGUAUACAGGUGGUGCAUGGUUGUCGUCAGCUCGUGUCGUGAGAUGUUGGGUUAAGUCCCGCAACGAGCGCAACCCUCGUUCUAUGUUGCCAGCACGUAAUGGUGGGGACUCAUAGGAGACUGCCGGGGUCAACUCGGAGGAAGGUGGGGAUGACGUCAAAUCAUCAUGCCCCUUAUGUCUUGGGCUUCACGCAUGCUACAAUGGCCGGUACAGAGGGUUGCGAUACUGUGAGGUGGAGCUAAUCCCUAAAAGCCGGUCUCAGUUCGGAUUGGGGUCUGCAACUCGACCCCAUGAAGUCGGAGUCGCUAGUAAUCGCAGAUCAGCAACGCUGCGGUGAAUACGUUCCCGGGCCU
rnacentral:rRNA from 1 species